UGGGGAAUCUUGGACAAUGGGCGCAAGCCUGAUCCAGCCAUGCCGCGUGAGUGACGAAGGCCUUAGGGUUGUAAAGCUCUUUUGGCGGGGACGAUAAUGACGGUACCCGCAGAAUAAGCCCCGGCUAACUUCGUGCCAGCAGCCGCGGUAAUACGAAGGGGGCUAGCGUUGUUCGGAAUUACUGGGCGUAAAGCGCACGUAGGUGAAUAGUUAAGUUCGGGGUGAAAUCCCAGGGCUCAACCCUGGAACUGCCUCGGAUACUGGCUAUCUCGAGUCCGGAAGAGGUGAGUGGAAUUCCUAGUGUAGAGGUGAAAUUCGUAGAUAUUAGGAAGAACACCGGUGGCGAAGGCGGCUCACUGGUCCGGUACUGACACUGAGGUGCGAAAGCGUGGGGAGCAAACAGGAUUAGAUACCCCGGUAGUCCCUGAGCGGGCUGGCAAGGCGCAU
rnacentral:rRNA from 1 species